rnacentral:rRNA from 1 species
UACGGAGGGUGCGAGCGUUAAUCGGAAUUACUGGGCGUAAAGGGUGCGUAGGUGGUUUGGUAAGUUAUCUGUGAAAUCCCUGGGCUCAACCCGAACACUGCCUUUCAUACUGGGGACCUUGAGUAUGGGAGAGGCGAGUGGAAUGGUCGGUGUAGCGGUGAAAUGCGUAGAUAUCGAUCGGAACACCCAUGGCGAAGGCAGCUCGCUGGCCUAAAACUGACGCUGAGGCGCGAAAGCGUGGGGAGCAAACAGG